rnacentral:tRNA from 1 species
GGGAGUGUACGCGGAUCUGGUGACCGUCGCGGGCUUCAAACCCGUUGUGGCGGCUGAAAAGUCGCCGGGAGGGUUCGAUUCCCUUCCACUUCCG